GCGUAGCGUAGCUUGGUAGCGCGUCUGAAUGGGGUUCAGAAGGUCGUGAGUUCAAAUCUCACCGC
rnacentral:tRNA from 1 species